rnacentral:rRNA from 1 species
AACGAACGCUGGCGGCAUGCCUAACACAUGCAAGUCGAACGAGACCUUCGGGUCUAGUGGCGCACGGGUGCGUAACGCGUGGGAAUCUGCCCCUUGGUUCGGAAUAACAGUUAGAAAUGACUGCUAAUACCGGAUGAUGACGAAAGUCCAAAGAUUUAUCGCCGAGGGAUGAGCCCGCGUAGGAUUAGCUAGUUGGUGAGGUAAAGGCUCACCAAGGCGACGAUCCUUAGCUGGUCUGAGAGGAUGAUCAGCCACACUGGGACUGAGACACGGCCCAGACUCCUACGGGAGGCAGCAGUGGGGAAUAUUGGACAAUGGGCGAAAGCCUGAUCCAGCAAUGCCGCGUGAGUGAUGAAGGCCUUAGGGUCGUAAAGCUCUUUUACCAGGGAUGAUAAUGACAGUACCUGGAGAAUAAGCUCCGGCUAACUCCGUGCCAGCAGCCGCGGUAAU